CAUUGCUGUCGUUCAGUUCUAUCAAAGAAGUGGCCUGGGCCGCGCAUCACCUUCAGCUUUUCUCCUUGUCUUAUUUGCAAGGCUGUAUAACGAAAUGAGUUCCUCGAUGAUUUGUUAAUUCCGAUACGUGAGCUUUUUGAAGACGUCAAGCGCAAAGCUUUGAUGAGGCUCGAGUACGAAGGUCUCCACCAAACCGAAGCCAUUUCAUUGCCUGGAAAUAGAUUUUUCCAGGAUGCCGAAGGAUAUGCCAUGGAACGCUACGCACAUUACGUUUGCUUCAGAUGUAACAAGGCCUAUUACACAGCAGCGGAAAACUACUUAUUUAGGCCUUUUUAAGUAGUUUUUGCCUACUAAAUCGAUAAGUAGUCUGAAAAAGACCAAAAUAAGUAGUUUUAUCAUACUUAAUUUUUGGAAUUGCCUACUGAAAAUGUAAUUUCUCCUACUUCUUAUUUUUAUGAUACUUAUUUUCAUAAAUAAAAGUAGUUUUUCGAAUAAGUAGUUUAC